rnacentral:rRNA from 1 species
AAAGAUUAAGCCAUGCAUGUNUAAGUAUAAGCAACUAUACUGUGAAACUGCGAAUGGCUCAUUACACCAGUUAUCGUUUAUUUGAUAGUACCUUUACCUGGAUAACCGUGGUAAUUCUAGAGCUAAUACAUGCUAAAAACCCCGACUUUGAAGGGGNGUAUUUAUUAGAUAAAAAACCAAUGCCCUUUGGGCUCCUUGGUGAUUCAUAAUAACUUAACGAAUCGCAUGGCCUUGCGCCGGCGAUGGUUCAUUCAAAUUUCUGCCCUAUCAACUUUCNAUGGUAGGAUAGUGGCCUACCAUGGUCU